GACCCCUAGCCUGGGAACCUCCACGUGCCCGUGGCACGGCCCUGAAAAAGCAAAUAAGUAAAUACAUAAAGAAAUAGAAGUUCUCAUCCAUGAAUUAUAACGAUGUUGAUUACCACUACGUUCAUUAGAGAGUGAGCUCCUCAUUACAGGAGGGGAUCAAGUGCAAGCCCGGGGGGGGGGGGCGCUGCAGAGGACUUGAACACUGGCCACAUAACUGGACUGAAUGACCUUUCAGGUGCCUCCUUCCGCAUGUGGGAGGCCGGUUUCCUCAGGGAGCAGGAGGUACUGCCCCUCUCCAGGCACACAUUCCCUGACAGUUUUCUUUUGGGGACAAAGGACUCAUCUCUUGAUCCCGGGUUUCGCAAAUCCUUGAGCUGCAUCCAAGAGUGGGGGGGUCCACCCCGCAGAGGGACCAGAGAUAUGGCAGUGGGGACUGUGGCCUUAGAGGGACCUCUCAUGACUCCCGCGACGGUCCGCCCACACCAGACUACGGAGCAUCCGUCUAAGAUGAAGAGUCAAAUUUCUAUCACAACUCGCAGUUAAUCUUGGCAGACUGAUACACUCAUGUACUGCAAUUCCUCCCCCAAAACCCCACACCACGAGGAUAGUACAGUCAUAAAAACAAAGAAAACUACAAAGACAACAAGACCGGGGGAGACGAUGGCAGAUGAGAGGGGGAAGCAGCGUUCCGGAAGUCGGAAAAAGGACGGAGGAGCAGGGGCUGCCCCGCGAAGCAGCGGAAGCUGAGCCUGGCUGACAGGGAGGAGGGGGCCAAGAAGGAGCCGACUCGUGGGCGCUGCUGGUUCUCCAGAGGCUCGGGAACCGGCAGUGCCAGGUGCCUCUAAAAGUGGGAGUGCAGGUGGGGGUGAAAACAGGUGACUUCUUUGAAAGUGGGAAUAAAGGAAAGUUUGGGCCUGCUGUCCCCGCUCCAAGCUCUCACUGUCAAGCAAUGCCCCCCUCCCCCGUCCUGCAACAGCAAAGCCGGGGACGGGGACGUCACUCUCUGGAGAGGCUGAGGGAAGCCUGAACUCGGGACCCCAGGCUCAGCUAGGGGUGAAGGGGGCACAAUGCAGGAUACAAAGGGAUUAAGUUGAAGCCACCAAUGGCGCGGUGAGCCCACGGGGACCCGUCUCCACCUCAGCUCCUAGGAUGCUGGCCCUGACCAUCUCCACAAGCAAAAGACUGGGGAGCCCUCUCGAAGCAAAAUGAGCAGCCCAAGAAAAACAGACUUCUAAUUUUUUUUUUUUUUUUUUUUGCUUUUUAGAGCCACACCCAUGGCAUAUGGAGGUUCCCAGGCUAGGGGUCUAAUUGGAGCUGUAGACGCCGGCUUACGCCACAGCUCACAGCAAUGCUGGAUCCUUAACCCACUGCGUGAAGCCAGGGAUUGAACCCGUGACCUCAUGGUUCCUAGUCGGGAUUCUUUAACCACUGAGCCAUAACAGGAACUCCCGAAAAACAGACUUCUGAAGCGGGGAACCCCAAGGGAACCACCUGACUACCCUUCAAAAGGCCCACCCCCAGAUUCAGAGAGCUUCUGUCUGCUUUUAAAGCUUCACUCCUCACUGGGGACGGACAGUCAAGGACCACCAGUCGUUCCAGGUAAGCCCCCAACAUGAAACACAGAAUCCAACAGGAAAAAGGAGCUCAGAGGGAAGAGAGACUCUCCAGGCGGCAAAGAUACCUCAAAACCAAACACAAGAACCAACACCCAGGGACUUCCUGUCGUGGCUCAGCAGAAACGAAUCUGGCUAGGACCCCUGAGGAUGCAGCUACGAUCCCUGGCCUCGCUCAUGGGUUAAGGAUCUGGUGUUGCUGUGAGCUGUGGUGUAGGUCACAGACGCGGCUUGGAUCCCGCGUUGCUGUGGCUGUGCCCGGCAGCUGCAGCUCCGAUGAGACCCCUAGCCUGGGAACUUCCAUAUGCUGUGCAGCCCUAAAAAGACAGAAAAAAUAAAUAAAUAAAUAAAAUAUUUUUAGAAGAAGCAAAAAAAGACAAGUGAGCCAGAGGCUCAGUGGGCACACAGAGGUCCUUUGCAGUUGCUAAUGGGGUUGGAACAUGUCCCACGGUGGCUUGGCUUUCUCUUCCACUGCCAACUAUUUUAAAAAUUCUAAUUCCAAAGAAAGUUUUCUGUGCUCUCAGUUAUCUUGGAGGACAGAGAUCAUCUCAGCGUAGGCACAACUCAGCAGAAUGGAGAGACAGGCAAAGACAAGGGGUGGGGAUUAAAAGGAAGCCCCUGGCGAGGCGUGCUCUCAGGCCUGGGAUCUGAGGGGGUAGAUUCGGUGGACCCUCUGAAAGCCCUCCCAGCACCAAGAACCUGAAUUUGACCCAAGCGUGAAAGGCUAUCAGCAAACACUUCCACCAACCCUGGCAUCCUCUCGGCUGGCCUGUCAGGCGGCGAGCACGAGACUGAAGCUACAGGCUAAACCCCAAAGGCUCUGUGCUCUUCCGUUGGGUAACUUUUCUUUUUGUCGGGACUUGAGCGACCAAAAGACUCAGGCCUCUCUCUGACAAUGGUUAGAAGCACCGGCGCCCUGGACAUUAAAACCUACCACUUCCUGAAGACCCUCAGCAGAAGGAUCUGGAGUUGUGUCCCAAACUCUGCCACUUCCCUGCCAAAUGGAGCUGGAGGAAUAACUAAAACGUCUGCCUUCAACAGGGUCGCAGCAAACCACUGAACCAGCGGGUCGGCCCAGGAGGUGUCAUCCUGGAGGCUAAAGCCAAUUCCCCACGGGGCGCCCGAGGAAGGGAGAGCUGACCAGCCCAGCCCAGCAGGAGUGGAGACAGCCAUGGGCAGCGUGGCCCCGGGCCUGCAUACCACCUGAGGCCCUGCUAGAUGGAGAGCCGGGCAAGGCCGUACAAAGCAACGCCUGCCAGACUCCCAGGCUCAGUGCCCGCCCUCCCAGGGCCAGGAGGGAGAAACGGAUGGCAGGUCCUACGAGACAGAGCAUCCUGCCUUAUCUUUAGCCCCUCAGGGCAGGAGGGAGCCCCAGAUGGCAUGGAGAGGAAGAGGAGGCUGUGACCGAGAGCCAUGGCUCGUCCCCCGACUGUAUCACCUGCAGGCUGUGGGACCCUGGGCACGGCCUUGAACUCAUAGCCUCUCCCACCUCAUCUGAGUGUGGGGGCGACGGCACUACCUCCU
rnacentral:lncRNA from 1 species